AGACGUUCAUCUCUUAGAAUGAUGUGAGUGGUAGUAAGAGAACCCACAAGGUUUCGGGAGUGACAGUCACUUGCCUUCCUAUUUUUGUGUUUGCAGUCACACGACUUUGUUCUUGUUAAGGAUUUUGUUUUUGAUUCCUCUUCUCCUUUUUUUUUGUUUUUCUAAUUUUUCCUGGACUGGUUUUUUGCUUACAGUCCAUCGGGAUACCCUAAUUUUUUUUGCCUAAGCCACUU
rnacentral:lncRNA from 1 species